GGGGCAAUAGCUCAGCUGGGAGAGCGCCGCGUUCGCAAUGCGGAGGUCCGGGGUUCGAUCCCCCGUUGCUCCACCA
rnacentral:tRNA from 1 species